UGAACGCUGGCGGCGUGCCUAAUACAUGCAAGUCGCGCGAACGGACGAGAAGCUUGCUUCUCUGAUGUUAGCGGCGGACGGGUGAGUAACACGUGGAUAACCUACCUAUAAGACUGGGAUAACUUCGGGAAACCGGAGCUAAUACCGGAUAAUAUUUUGAACCGCAUGGUUCAAAAGUGAAAGACGGUCUUGCUGUCACUUAUAGAUGGAUCCGCGCUGCAUUAGCUAGUUGGUAAGGUAACGGCUUACCAAGGCAACGAUGCAUAGCCGACCUGAGAGGGUGAUCGGCCACACUGGAACUGAGACACGGUCCAGACUCCUACGGGAGGCAGCAGUAGGGAAUCUUCCGCAAUGGGCGAAAGCCUGACGGAGCAACGCCGCGUGAGUGAUGAAGGUCUUCGGAUCGUAAAACUCUGUUAUUAGGGAAGAACAUAUGUGUAAGUAACUGUGCACAUCUUGACGGUACCUAAUCAGAAAGCCACGGCUAACUACGUG
rnacentral:rRNA from 1 species